CACCAGCGCCACGAGUGGGAAUCUCGUAUAUUGGGUCUAAAGCGUCCGUAGCCGGUUUAGCAAGUCUUUUGUGAAAUCUCUAGGCCUAACCUAGAGGCGUGCUUGAGAUACUACUUAACUUGGGACUAGGAGGAGUCAGAGGUAUUUCUGGGGGAGCGGUAAAAUGCUAUAAUCCCAGAAGGACCACCUGUGGCGAAGGCGUCUGACCAGCAUAGAUCCGACGGUGAGGGACGAAAGCUAGGGGAGCAAUCCG
rnacentral:rRNA from 1 species